UGGGGAAUAUUGCACAAUGGACGGAAGUUUGAUGCAGCGACGCCGCGUGGAGGGUGUAGGCCUUCGGGUUGUGAACUCCUUUUUCUCGCGAAAAAGGCACAGUUUUGGCUGUGUUGAUGGUAGUGGGGGAAGAAGCGCCGGCUAACUACGUGCCAGCAGCCGCGGUAAUACGUAGGGCGCGAGCGUUGUCCGGAUGUAUUGGGCGUAAAGAGCUCGUAGGUGGUUCGUCGCGUCUGUCGUGAAAGCCAGCAGCUUAACUGUUGGUCUGCGGUGGGUACGGGCGGGCUUGAGUGCGGUAGGGGUGACUGGAAUUCCUGGUGUAGCGGUGGAAUGCGCAGAUAUCAGGAGGAACACCGAUGGCGAAGGCAGGUCACUGGGCCGUUACUGACACUGAGGAGCGAAAGCGUGGGGAGCGAACAGG
rnacentral:rRNA from 1 species